rnacentral:rRNA from 1 species
CGACGGGAAUACUUUAUUGAACUUCGGUCGAUUUAAUUUAAUUCUAGUGGCGGACGGGUGAGUAACGCGUGGGUAACCUGCCUUAUACAGGGGGAUAACAGUCAGAAAUGGCUGCUAAUACCGCAUAAGCGCACAGAGCUGCAUGGCUCAGUGUGAAAAACUCCGGUGGUAUAAGAUGGACCCGCGUUGGAUUAGCUUGUUGGUGGGGUAACGGCCCACCAAGGCGACGAUCCAUAGCCGGCCUGAGAGGGUGAACGGCCACAUUGGGACUGAGACACGGCCCAGACUCCUACGGGAGGCAGCAGUGGGGAAUAUUGCACAAUGGGGGAAACCCUGAUGCAGCGACGCCGCGUGAAGGAAGAAGUAUCUCGGUAUGUAAACUUCUAUCAGCAGGGAAGAUAGUGACGGUACCUGACUAAGAAGCCCCGGCUAACUACGUGCCAGCAGCCGCGGUAAUACGUAGGGGGCAAGCGUUAUCCGGAUUUACUGGGUGUAAAGGGAGCGUAGACGGUGUGACAAGUCUGAUGUGAAAGGCAUGGGCUCAACCUGUGGACUGCAUUGGAAACUGUCAUACUUGAGUGCCGGAGGGGUAAGCGGAAUUCCUAGUGUAGCGGUGAAAUGCGUAG